rnacentral:rRNA from 1 species
AAGGUGUUAAGCGGGCCGCUUGGGAAGUACGGCCGCAAGGCUGAAGCUUAAAGGAAUUGGCGGGAGAGCACUGCAACGGGAGGAGCGUGCGGUUUAAUUGGAUUCAACGCCGGAAAACUCACCGGGGGCGACCGGCACAUGUGGGCCAGGCUGACGACCUUGCCCGAAUAAUAGCUGGAGAGGUGGUGCAUGGCCAUCGUCAGCUCGUACCAUAGGGCGUUCACUUAAGUGUGAUAACGAGCGAGACCCCCGUCCCCAGUUGCCACCUGUCCCUCCGGGGGCAGAGCACACUGGGGAGACCGCUGGCGCUAAGCCAGAGGAAGGUGGGGUCAACGGUAGGUCAGUACGCCCCGAAUCCCCCGGGCUACACGCGCGCUACAAAGGGCGGGACAAUGGGUUGCAACCCCGAAAGGGGAAGCUAAUCCUGAAACCCGUCCGUAGUUCAGAUCGAGGGCUGUAACUCGCCCUCGUGAAGCUGGAUUCCGUAGUAAUCGCGCCUCAACAUGGCGCGGUGAAUGCGCCCCUGCUCUUUGCACACACCGCCCGUCAAACCAUCCGAGUUGGCUCUAGGUGAGGCUCUGUUCUAUUCGGGCAGGGUCGAACCUGGGGUCAGCGAGGAGGGUUAAGUCGUAACAAGGUAACC